rnacentral:rRNA from 3 species
GGUUAAGCGACUAAGCGUACACGGUGGAUGCCCUGGCAGUCAGAGGCGAUGAAGGACGUGCUAAUCUGCGAAAAGCGUCGGUAAGGUGAUAUGAACCG